rnacentral:rRNA from 1 species
UUUUAAGUCCAAUCUGCCCAAUGAAAAAUUAAAUGGCUGCAGUAUUUUAACUGUACUAAGGUAGCAUAAUAAUUUGUUUUUUAAUUAAAAACUAGAAUGAAAGAUUAAAUGAAAUAUAUACUAUAUCAAUUAAAAAAAUUUAAAUUUUUAUUUAAGUAAAAAAACUUAAAUAAAUUUAAUAGACGAUAAGACCCUAUAAAAUUUUAUUAUUAAAAUAAAUUAAUUUAUUUUAAAUUUUCUAUAAUAAAUAAUAUAUUUUAAUAAUUUAAUUGGGGUAAUUAAAAAAUUUAAUAAACUUUUUUUUAAAAAACAUAUUUAAAUGAAAAUAAUAUCUUAAAUUUUAAAUUAAUAAAAUUAAUUACUUUAGGGAUAACAGUAUAA